GAUGAACGCUGGCGGCGUGCCUAAUACAUGCAAGUCGAGCGAACGGACGAGAAGCUUGCUUCUCUGAUGUUAGCGGCGGACGGGUGAGUAACACGUGGAUAACCUACCUAUAAGACUGGGAUAACUUCGGGAAACCGUAGCUAAUACCGGAUAAUAUUUUGAACCGCAUGGUUCAAAAGUGAAAGACGGUCUUGCUGUCACUUAUAGAUGGAUCCGCGCUGCAUUAGCUAGUUGGUAAGGUAACGGCUUACCAAGGCAACGAUGCAUAGCCGACCUGAGAGGGUGAUCGGCCACACUGGAACUGGGACACGGUCCAGACUCCUACGGGAGGCAGCAGUAGGGAAUCUUCCGCAAUGGGCGAAAGCCUGACGGAGCAACGCCGCGUGAGUGAUGAAGGUCUUCGGAUCGUAAAACUCUGUUAUUAGGGAAGAACAUAUGUGUAAGUAACUGUGCACAUCUUGACGGUACCUAAUCAGAAAGCCACGGCUAACUACGUG
rnacentral:rRNA from 1 species